GGCUGGGUAGCUCAGUUGGUUAGAGCGCAGGAUUCAUAACCCUGAGGUCGGCGGUUCAAUUCCGCCCCCCGCUACCA
rnacentral:tRNA from 1 species